CAGCCGCCACGGUAAUACGGAGGGUGCAAGCGUUAAUCGGAAUUACUGGGCGUAAAGCGUGCGUAGGCGGUUCGUUAAGUCUGUUGUGAAAGCCCCGGGCUCAACCUGGGAAUGGCAAUGGAUACUGGCGAGCUAGAGUGUGUCAGAGGAUGGUGGAAUUCCCGGUGUAGCGGUGAAAUGCGUAGAGAUCGGGAGGAACAUCAGUGGCGAAGGCGGCCAUCUGGGACAACACUGACGCUGAGGCACGAAAGCGUGGGGAGCAAACAGGAUUAGAUACCCCAGUAGUCCCUGUCUCUUAUAC
rnacentral:rRNA from 1 species